UACGUAGGGUGCGAGCGUUAAUCGGAAUUACUGGGCGUAAAGCGUGCGCAGGCGGUUCGCCAAGUCAGGUGUGAAAUCCCCGGGCUUAACCUGGGAACUGCAUUUGUGACUGCACGGCUAGAGUGUGUCAGAGGGGGGUAGAAUUCCACGUGUAGCAGUGAAAUGCGUAGAGAUGUGGAGGAAUACCGAUGGCGAAGGCAGCCCCCUGGGAUAACACUGACGCUCAUGCACGAAAGCGUGGGGAGCAAACAGG
rnacentral:rRNA from 1 species